UGCUGUAUUCUUAUAGCUCGCUUGAAACAAGCUUUAAAAAAGUUUAGAGGGGAUGAGAAGCAGCCAAAGCUUCGUUUGGUACUCAUUUCUUGAACUAUACUCCCACAUUUAGCUUUCUUUUUCUUCUAUUGUCUCGGAUGUUAGCCUGACAGGGAAGUUUUUAGCCUGACAGGGAAGUUUUUGUUUUUAUUGUUUUUGUAUCUUGUAUGAACAAUGUAGAUUACUGAUGAGAAUAGUGGGGGUUUUAAUGGAAUGACCAAUACACGUUGUGAAAGCAAGCGCGAAAUGAAAGCUCCAAGUUUGGUUGCUAGGU
rnacentral:lncRNA from 1 species